AUAUGCGCGAGUCAAAGGGUUGGCUAAACCCCAAGGCGAAACGAAAGUGAAAACGAUUUUUUCUUCAUAGGGCCGAUCCGGUUCGGGGUGCGUUAGCGGGGAGUCUUUAUCCCCCUUCGCGGUCGUUCCCCUUCUUCUUCGGCAUCCUUUUCGCUGCUGCUGCUGCGCGCGUUUCGUGCGCGCGCUAGUAAGCGGGCGGGUAGGCGUGUCGUCGUGGUCGGGGCGCCGCGGAGGGUGGCUCCCUACCUUUCCCCUCGAUUCGUCUUCCAUAAAGUAUGAGAACGGCGCAGGCUCGGGGCUCGCAGGCGACCUCCCUGCCGCUAAGGCUUAACCGUUCGCAUCCUUCGUUCGGCGCUCGCAUCAUCGGUUGGUUCGUCGACGCUUCGUCGUCGUCGUCGUCGUAGGCGGUUCGCCGCCUCGGCGUCGGCGUCAGCGUGGCUGAGGCCCCAGCCGUAACGUAAAAGCGUUCGUUCGAGGUCGUCGGUUCGCUGGCAAGGGACGAGCGGCGGGUUCUUUGAGCGCAUAUUUUAGUACCCGAAAGAUGGUGAUCUAUGCUUGGCCAGGAUGAAGCCAGAGGAAACUCUGGUGGAGGUCCGUAGCGAUUCUGACGUGCAAAUCGAUCGUCGGAGCUGUGCAUAGGGGCGAAAGACCUAUCGA
rnacentral:rRNA from 1 species